GCAAAAUAACAUAUUCUACAAUUGCAGUCUCGCUUGGAUUCUAUGGAAAGGGUAACUGUCGUGGUUCUAAGUCUGACAGUAGAGUGGGGGGUAGGUAUGGAGAGGCAAGGUCCUAGCUAUGGAGAGGUUGUGAACACAGGCGAUGUACGAGUUCAGGCCCUUCUCGGAAGAAGUAAAAGCCCUACGUCUCGGAGCCCUGAGGCGGUCGAGUGGAUUAUGUGUAUAUGUGUUACAAGAGUCGGAACCCUUCUGCCUGUGGAGGGGGGUGGCUUAUAUAGAGUGCGCCAGGACCCCUGCCAGCCCAUGUAAUGAAGGGGUUUAAGUACAUUAAGUCUGGGGCGUUACUGGUAACGCCCCGCAUAAAGUGCCUUAACUAUCAUUAAGUCUUAUUCAAUUACAGGCCGUUGCAGUGCGGAGUGCCUUCUGACCUUCUGGUGGUCGAGUGCAUCUUCAUGGUCGAGUGAAUCUCCAUGGUCGAGUCCUUCUGAUCAGUCGAGUGAGUUCCCCGUUGGUCGACUGGAAGGUGAUCUCUUCUUAGGGUGCCCUUGGGUAGGACAUCUAGGUCAGGCCUGUGACCCUACCCUAGGUACAUGAAUCCAUCAUUAGCCCCCGAAUGGAUUGAGGCUUGAAUGAGGAAGGAGUUGAUGCUGUUCCCGAUUGAUUUUUGGUAUACUGGCUAUGCGUCGUUCGUGACCAAGGUCUUCUUUGUUGAUAGCGAGCAACUUCUCUUCAGUCGACUCGAUCCAUUCUUGUCUUUCGUCGAGUGAUCUUUUAGACUUCGCCGGUCCCCGAGCGACGGAUCGCAGGAGAUCUCGCGUCUGACAGACUGAUCUGCCGCUCGCGGAUUCCACGGGAUACGAAAUCUAGAGAGGCGCGCGAAGCGAAACGAACCGCGGCGCUCGGACGGGACGGGGCAUAGACGCCUCGAUUUCCGCGCCGCUUUUUCCGCCACGUAUCGUGUCAAUGCAACUGUUUCGGGAUAUGAUUAGGUUGUCCGGGUCCACCUGUCAUCCACUCGGAAGGGAUGUUAUAAAUGGGACCGGCGUGGGUUUCUGAACAGUGAUCCAUUCCUUUCUCCUCUGCUCUCCUCGUCUCCGCCCAACGCACCCGCUUUCGCCUCCGCAGAGCUCUCCUUCGCGCACCUCGCAGGCAGCCAUGGUCAAGGAGAGGACGGCGGCGCUGGAGCGCGCAAAGAAGGCGUCAGCGGCGGAGAAGGCGCCGGCGGCGGAGAAGGCGAAGGGGAGAUCCACCAGCCGCGGUGGGUCUUCAUCGAGAUCCCGCCUGCCGAAGGGCUGGGUCCAGGGAGAUUGGAUCAAGUCGACCAUCACGGAGCAGGAUCUCCUCGACAUGCCCAAUGACGGACUGAUCCCCCACGGCGCCGCAAGGCUUCCAGGAACAGAGUGUCAACCUCAGCCGGAAGAGGGUGAGUGCGUGCUUCUGGCCACUCAUGUCGAUCGAGGAUUUUCUCUUCCACCGAGUGUUUUCUUUCGUGGUUUUUUGAACUUCUUUGGAGCCCAACUCCACCACUUUACUCCGAACUCCAUCGCGUAUCUUGCCGCGUUUGUAUCCAUGUGCGAGAGCUUCUUGGGCUGUCGACCGCACUGGGGUUUGUUCAAGCACAUCUUCACAUGUCGUUCUCAGACUGUGAAGAAGGCGAGCCCAGGCGAUGAGAGAACCCAAGUUGUCCAAAUGUGCGGGGGCCUGGGAAUCCAAGUGAGGAAUAAAAGCACUUUCCCAGCGAUGACGUUUCCCGAGUCGGUCAGGGGCUGGCAGUCGACCUGGUUCUACUGCCAGAAUGAGUCGAUGCCGGGGCAGUCGAGUGGGCUCCCUCCAUUCACCAUGAGUCGAGUGGACAGGCCUUCCUCUUUGAAGGUGGUUCCGGAGGAGAGAGCAGAUGUGAAGAUGUUGAUGGACCGCGUGGUGCAGCUGGUUCGGGACGGCGUGACCGGCAUGGACCUUCUGGAGGUUUUCCUUCGGCGGCGUAUCCAGCCUCUUCAGUUCCGGAGCCAUUGCAUGUGGUUGUACCGUGGAAUCGAAGACGAGACCCGAGUCCACCCGGAAGCAGUCAACGACGCCACGGUGGAAAGAUGGAUGGCAGCGGUUACUGGGAACAAGGACAAUCCUCGUGGAUCCAGGAGGAUUCCUCCACUCGACUGUCACAGCGUUCCUGACAAGGUAUAUUUGCUCUGCUUUCCAAUGUAUUUCUGCCGAAUUUGCUUCUGUAUGUUCUGCGACUUGGUCGAUUGAUCUCUGUCUUGACGUCUUCCAGGCCCUCACCGAGCUGUAUUCAAUGCCCAAUGGAGCUCAGGCCCCGACUGAGGAGGGAGAAGCCAGCGGGGGCGAGAGCCAGGAGGAGUGGGAAUCAGACGCUGCCGAAGACGAAGACGGUGACGACGACAACGAUGAGGACGAGGAGGAGGAAGUGGAAGAGGUUGCACCACCGUGCUCGGAAAGGCGGUCGAAACUUGUUCAUGACCCCUCGACUGAACGCGGGAAGGGGGUUGCGACUGCCUCGCAGUCGACCAAACGCCCUCGGACCGCUUCUCCGGUGCCGAGUGAAAAGGCGCCGAAGUAGUCGAAGGUGGCCCCUUCAAAGCCAGCCAAGCUCCUGCCGAAGAUGAAGGUGUCCAUCCCUACCAUAUCAGGGUAAACAUGUUGCUUAAGUCUCCUUGUUUUGUAUAAGUUUUAUCUCUGGUUGAUACUUGAGUUGGUCGACUGAUUCUUUGGAACUUCAGUGCUGCAACUUCUGAGACCUCAGGCAAGGCUGACGACCAUGAGAUGGAGGACACAGCAACUUCAAAUCCUGGUACUAUGCUCUCAAUUCUGUUUUUAGUCGACUGACUCAUGAUUUUUGAUUUUGAUUCUUUUCCUGAAGCUCCAUCCCAUGACGUUAUCACCCUUCCUGAAGAUGAUGAUGAGGAUGAAGAACCGCUGAGGCACAGGAGGGGCAGGAAGGCGUCUGCUGGUCAGGCAACCCAGGAUGCGACGGCGCCCGAGACUGUGGUCACGGAGGGGGAGAACGCCACUCGACACACCGUGUCUUUCGCGGUGCCGUUGACGAGUGCUCGUCCCACUUCGUCGAGUGCUGCCCAGUCUUCGCUCUUCACAACACAUCACGUCCCAGAGGACCAAGCCAGUGCUGCUAAGGAGGCGAUACGCCAAGCGGGGAUCAUGAUGGAGCAGGUGAAGAUCAUCCGGGACGCAAGCCAAGCAGCUUACGACGCUAGCUCCGCCCUUCAGAGCAAUGUUCAGGUUAGUCGACCACCGCCUGUCCUGUUAGGAUAUGCUAUCAAAACUUUUUCUUUCUGAAAUCCAUAGCAGCAAUCACCCAGUGGGUGUGUUGAUAAAAAACUCCGUGUUAGCGGGGGCACGCUGAGUGUACCCGCUGGGUGUAGUCAACUCCGUGUUAGCGGGGGCACGCUGAGUGUACCCGCUGGGUGUAGUCCCCAAGGCUAAGGUCGACUGCUGGCAGUCGGUCUUAGGCUUUAUAAGUAAAGGCUUUUCGUCAUUCGACUGGAUCGAAUGGAUUUCUGAAACCGGUGGGGGCACGCUGAGUGCACCCACUGGGUGUAGUCCCCGAGACUGUGGUCGACUGCUGGCAGUCGACUACAGUCUGAAGAGCACGUCUCUUUUUUUUUGGAGAGUCGACUGGUCGACUCUGUCUUGAACAGAAUUAGUGGGGGCACGCUGAGUGCACCCACUGGGUGUAUUCCCCGAGACUACGGUCGAAUGCUUGCUUUCGGUUGUAGUCUUAGAAACGUGUGAUUUUCUCUUAUCCACUCGGAAGUGAAUUAUCUUUGAUGUUUUGUCAAUUGGUUCUUCGUAGAAAUCCUGUGACCUUGCGGCUCGCUAUACCGAAUUGGAGCAGAAGCACAUUCAGCUCGAGCUGGAUCUGAAGCUGGUGCAGGAGAAUCUGACGAAGGCGAAGGAGGAGACCAAAGGUAUGUUCGGUGAGACCUCAACGACUCUUCUUCCCUUCCAUUUGUUUCAAACUCUGACUUUGCUGUAACUUGCAGACAAGGUGAGAGAGGCCCAGAGGAAGAAGGACCUUGAGCUAGAUGAGAAGAUCAAGCUUGCUGACGAGAAGUUGGCUUCAGUCGCCAAGCUCGAGCAGGAAAAUACCAAUCUGAAAACUGCUCUGACGAUUGCCACCAAGGAAGCCGACCGACUGAAAACUGACAAGACUACCUUGACCGAGAAGAUCAACCAGUUGAUUGGGAAGAAGAAUGACCUGGAAGGCUUCCUGGGUGGUCUAGCCAAGAAACUAUUCCUCAUGCUCGAAGGUAAUCCUUUGCACUCGACCAACAUUUUCGACUGUGAUGCUUCCAUUCGACCAUUGUCUUCAUUCGGCGUUUUGUCCUUGCAGAAUUCUGUCAAAACUUUGAAGAGGAGACUAGCCAGCUGGAGCCGAACCUUGACCCUGUCAAUUCUCCGGUGAAUGACGAAGUUGCCAUGAAUGUCUUCCGACUGGAGUCCCGUGUUGCAGCUGUCGUGGACUAUCUUGCAAGGCUGAAGGCCGCCACUUCUCGUAUCGACUCGACGCUUUGGCCCGGGGCGACACUUCAGAAUGACCUCGAGUCGUUGAUGGCUCGACUAAACGCGGUCCCCGACCGUGUGCAAGAGUGGAAGAAGUCCUCGGCCCGGUGUGGCGCAGACGUUGCUCUGUGUCUGGCCCGAGUCCACUGCAAGGACGCGCGAGAGGAGAAGCUGGCGGCUCUCCGAGUCGCCAACACCAAGAAACACGACUUCAGGUCCUUCAUGGAAACUUUCAUCGCUGCUGCUACCCGGAUCGCAGACGGGAUCGACCUCGAUGAGUUCGUUGCUCCUUCCAGCCCUCCACAGGAGGGGUAAAAAACUUUCUUUAAGCCCAACACUUUAAAUUUGCCUCGGUAUGCCGAGUGGAACUGUAACCGAUAAACCUUAGCAGGCUUAAUGCCUGAGCACUCUCGGUUCCUUUAGGUAUCGACCUAAAUUUGGAUUUGAUGUUUGGAUAUGACUGCUCUUGGCUCGGAUUGUUCUUUGCAGGUUCACAGCAAGAUGUCCACCGCAAUCGACUCAUUCCUUAGGCGAGCACUGGGCUGUAGCUAAGCCUCCGAGUGAGAGGUUUGCUCUUCACUCGGUAGGAUUUUUCAUAACUUAGGCGAGCACUGGGCUGCAGCUAAGCCCCCGAGUGAGAGGUUUGCUCUUCACUCGGUAGGAUUUUUCGUAACUUAGGCGAGCGCUGGGCCGCAGCUAAGCCCCCGAGUGAGAGGUUUGCUCUUCACUUGGUAGGAUUUCUUUAAUAACUUAGGCGAGCGCUGGGCUGCAGCUAAGCCCCCGAGUGAGAGGUUUGCUCUUCACUCGGUAGGAUUUUUCAUAACUUAGGCGAGCGCUGGGCUGCAGCUAAGCCCCCGAGUGAGAGGUUUGCUCUUCACUCGGUAGGAUUUUUCAUAACUUAGGCGAGCGCUGGGCUGCAGCUAAGCCUCCGAGUGAGAGGUUUGCUCUUCACUCGGUAGGAUUUUUUAUAACUUAGGCGAGCGCUGGGCUGCAGCUAAGCCCCCGAGUGAGAGGUUUGCUCUUCACUCGGUAGGAUUUUUUAUAUCUUAGGCGAGCGCUGGGCUGCAGCUAAGCCUCCGAGUGAGAGGUUUGCUCUUCACUCGGUAGGAUUUUUAUAACUUAGGCGAAAAGGAUUCGCGGCUAAGCCUCCGAGUGGAAGUCUGGCUUACCACUCGGUAGGAUUUUUAUAACUUAGGCGAAACGGAUUCGCGGCUAAGCCUCCGAGUGGAAGUCUGGCUUACCACUCGGUAGGAUUUUUAUAACUUAGGCGAAACGGAUUCGCGGCUAAGCCACCCACUGGGGGAAAGAGCGACAAAAAUUGUGGAGGAAUUAUGGCACUAUUAUUUCGAAACCCAUGAACUACAGAAGUAUUUUAUUACAAUCCAUCCGAGUGGAAAACUUUAAGUGUAAAACGGGCGGAGCAGAUCCGCGUUCCAAGCUCGGGGCUCUUCGAUGUUGUGUUCGACGUUGUAGAGACGGUAUGCCCCGUUGUGGAGAACUUUGGUAAUGAUGAAGGGUCCUUCCCAAGAAGGAGCGAGCUUAUGCCGUUUCUGCUGAUCCACUCGGAGAACUAGAUCUCCUUCUUGGAAGGCUCGACCUCUCACAUUUUUGGCGUGAAAGCGACGCAAGUCCUGUUGAUAGAUGGUCGAUCGGAUCAGAGCCAUCUCCCUUUCUUCUUCUAGAAGAUCGACUGCGUCCUGACGUGCUUGCUCAGCUUCUGCUUCGUUGUAGAGUUCAACUCGAGGAGCGUUGUGAAGAAGAUCACUCGGCAAGACUGCUUCAGCUCCAUAGACCAAGAAGAAUGGUGUUCUUCCGGUCGACCGAUUGGGUGUGGUCUGCAAACCCCAAAGCACCGAAGGGAGUUCGUCGACCCAUGCUCCAGCCGCGUGCUUGAGAUCACGCAUCAGUCGGGGUUUUAAGCCCUUGAGGAUUAAGCCAUUGGCUCGCUCCACUUGUCCAUUCGACUGUGGAUGAGCGACCGAAGCGUAGUCGACUCGUGUGCCUUGAGCGUUGCAGAAACCCUUGAAUUCUUCCGAGUCAAAGUUCGACCCAUUAUCCGUAAUGAUACUGUGCGGGACCCCAUAUCUGAACGUCAGCUCCCUGACGAAGGUAACUGCAGUACCGGCGUCAAGAUUCUUGAUUGGUUUAGCCUCAAUCCACUUCGUGAACUUGUCGACUGCGACCAGUACGUGCGUGAAACCACUUCAGCCUGUUCUCAAGGGACCGACCAUGUCCAAUCCCCAUACUGCGAACGGCCAGACGAGCGGGAUGGUCUUCAGAGCUGAUGCGGGCUUGUGUGACAUAUUGGAGUAGAACUGACACCCUUCGCACUUGUCCACUAUUUCCUUUGCCAUCUCAUUCGCCCUUGGCCAGUAAAAUCCAGCUCGGUAUGCUUUGGCUACAAUGGUCCGGGAGGACGCAUGGUGACCACAGGUCCCCGAGUGGAUAUCAUUGAGAAUGAUUCGACCUUCUUCUGGCGUUACGCAUUUUUGACCAACCCCAGUCGGGCUUUCUCUAUACAGCUGUCCUUUGAUAACGGUAAAGGCUUUGGAUCGACGGACGAUCUGCCGAGCCUCUUCCUCAUCCUCUGGGAGCUCUUUUCUUAGAAUAUACGCGAUGUAUGGAACUGUCCAGUCGGGAAUGACCACUAAGACCUCCAUGACCAAAUCGACCACCGCUGGGAUCUCAACCUCAGUCGGAUCUGUGGCACUCUUGGGCUGUGGAGCUUCCUCUGUAAAGGGAUCCUCUUUAACUGACGGAGUGUGUAUAUGCUCCAAGAACACACCACCCGGAAUGGCUUCUCUUUUGGAACCUAUCUUUGCCAGAUCAUCUGCUGCUUGAUUUUUCAGUCGGGGGAUGUGAUGGAGCUCCAACCCCUCGAACUUCUUUUCCAGCUUCCUCACUGCAUUACAGUAUCCAGUCAUGGCUGGGCUUCUCACGUCCCACUCCUUCAUCACCUGGUUGACCACUAAAUCUGAAUCGCCAUAAACCAUCAGGCGACGGACGCCGAGUGAGAUGGCCAUGCGUAAUCCAUAUAAAAGGGCCUCAUACUCUGCCUCAUUGUUGGAGGAAUCAAAGUGAAUCUGGAGCACAUACUUAAGCUUAUCUCCUCUGGGGGAAACUAGAACAACCCCAGCACCAGAACCAUUCAGCAUCUUAGAGCCAUCAAAGAACAUGGUCCAAUGCUCCGAGUGAACUUCAGUCGGCUGCUGUUGUUCGAUCCACUCGGCGAGGAAAUCUGCUAUUGCUUGGGACUUAAUGGCUUUCUUUGCCUCAAACUUGAUAUCAAGGGGAAGAAGUUCAAUCGCCCAUUUCGCCACUCGACCAGUUGCAUCUCUGUUGUGCAGAAUCUCUGAUAGUGGGGCGUCGCUGACGACUGUGACAGAAUGAUCAGAGAAAUAAUGAGCAACCUUCUUCGUGGUCAUGUAUAUUCCAUACACAAGCUUCUGAUAAUGAGGAUAUCUCUGCUUGGAUGGAGUUAAGACUUCAGAUAAAUAAUACACCGGGCGUUGAACUUUAAAGGCUUUUCCUUCUUCUUCCCGCUCGACCGUAAGUACUGUGCUGACGACUUGUCCUGUGGCUGCGAUAUAGAGCAACAGAGGCUCUUUGCUGACUGGAGCAGCAAGCACCGGCUGGGUGGAGAGCAGAGCUUUUAGCUCGGCAAACGCUGCAUCAGCUUCUGGAGUCCACUCGAACUUGUCUGCUUUCUUCAUCAGUCGGUAAAGUGGCAAUGCCUUUUCACCGAGUCGUGAGAUGAAUCGACUUAAUGCGGCCAAGCAUCCAGUAAGCUUCUGGACAUCGUGCACUCGCACAGGGCGUUUCAUUCGGAGAAUAGUGCCGAUCUUCUCUGGAUUGGCGUCGAUCCCUCGCUCGGAAACGAGAAAACCGAGUAACUUUCCACCAGGAACUCCGAAUGUGCACUUUGAUGGAUUGAGCUUGAUAUCAUACCUUCUGAGGUUGGCAAAUGUUUCGGCGAGGUCGGUAAUCAGGUCGGAACCUUUUCACGACUUAACGACGAUAUCAUCCAUAUACGCUUCCACAUUCCGACUGAUUUGAGUGAGAAGACACUUCUGAAUCAUUCGCAUAAAUGUGGCUCCGGCAUUCUUGAGGCCGAAUGGCAUGGUGAUAUAGCAGAAGCACCCGAAUGGAGUGAUGAAAGCUGUUUUUAUUUCAUCGGGUCCAUACAGACGGAUCUGAUGAUACCCGGAAUACGCGUCUAGAAAAGACAAUCUCUCACAUCCCGCGGUCGAGUCAACAAUUUGAUCUAUGCGAGGGAGAGGAAAAUGAUCUUUCGGGCAGGCCCGAUUGAUAUGCUUGAAGUCAAUGCACAUGCGGAGUGAGUUGUCCUUUUUGGGAACCAUGACGACAUUAGCGAGCCACUCGGAGUGGUAUAUCUCUCGAAUAAAUCCUGCCGCCAACAGUCGAGCCACUUCCUCACCAAUGGCUUUUCUCUUCUGGACGGCGGACCGCCGAAGAUGCUCUUUGACUGGUUUUGCUGAUUUGUCGACUCGGAGGCGGUGCUCAGCCAGUCCCCUGGGAACACCCGGCAUGUCAGCUGGCUUCCAUGCAAAAAUGUCCCAAUUCUCACGGAGGAACUGGAUGAGCGCUUCUUCCUUUCGGGUCGAGUGUCGUGGAGAUGUGGGUCGGGGCUGCAUUGGGAUCGGUCGGGUGAAUGUGAACAGGCUUCGUCUCACCAGACGACUGAAAUGCAGAUUCUGUGGCUGGUUUCUUGGAUCGCAACAAAUCACUCGGAUCUGCAUUCUGCUUGUAUUCUUCGAACUCGACCGCUGUCACCUGGGAAUCGGCAAUCUUCGAGCCCUUCUGAAAGCACUCUUCUGCCUUUUUCCGAUCGCCAGUGACAGUGAUCACUCCUUUGGGACCGGGCAUUUUCAGUUUGAGGUACACGUAACAUGGUCGAGCCAUGAACCGUGCAUAGGCAGGCCUCCCCAAAAUGGCGUGGUACGCGCUCUGAAAAUCCACAACCUCAAAGGUCAAAUUUUCCUUGCGAAAAUGCUUCGAGUCGCCAAAAACCACGUCCAGAGCUAUUUGGCCGAGUGAGUCGGCUUUCUUCCCUGGUAUGACUCCGUGGAACCUCAUGUUGCUGGUGCUCAGUCGGGACAUCGGGAUGCCCAUUCCUUUCAGUGUGUCUGCGUACAACAGGUUCAGCCCACUACCACCAUCCAUCAGCACUUUCGUCAGUCGAGUGCCUUCGACAACUGGGUCGACCACCAACGCUUGCCUCCCAGGGGUGGCAAUAUGAGUCGGGUGAUCAGAUUGGUCGAAUGUGAUGGGUGUUUGGGACCAUCUCAGAUAACUUGGUUUUGCUGGGGCAACCAUGUUCACCUCACGGUUAAUGACUUUCAGUCGACUCUUGCUUUCUACGUCCGCGAAGAUCAUCAGAGUAGAGUUGAUAUGCGGAUAUUCUUCCUCACUGUCCUCUUUGUCUCCGGCCUUGUCUGACUCUUUCUCCUUGUCCUUAGACUGUUUUCCCUGAAACUGCUGGAUCAGGAGUCGACACUGGCGAGUGGUGUGCUUUGGGUAAAUGAUGUUGCCCUCUUCAUCUUUCUUCGUGUGGAUGUGGCAGGGCAUAUCCAUCACGUCGUUUCCUUCUUUAUCCUUUACUUUCUUGGGAUUCCAGGAUCCUUUUGGUUCCCCUUUGAACUUUCCCUGAGUCACGGCCAGGGCCUCUCCCGGAGCUGCUGGCUCGGUUUUCCGCUUUUGUUUCCGACUGGAAUUUCCUUUCUCCGACUGACUUGGCUUAUGCUUGCCACUUCGGAGUCGGUCCUCUUCCUCGCCAUUGGCGUACUUGGUAGCAAUCUCCAUCAUUCGACUCAGGAUCAUGUCCCCGGUUCGACCAAAUUUCAGACUCAAUUCCCUGUUCUUGACGCCAUCUUUGAAGGCGCAAACUGCUUGAUGAUCAGACACAUUUUCCACAGUAUGGUGCAGAGUGAUCCACCUCUGAAUGUACUCCCUGAGAGUCUCAUUGGUCUUCUGCACACAAACUUGCAGCUCUGUCAAACCAGCUGGUCGCUUGCAAGUUCCUUCAAAAGUUCUGACGAACACUCGGGACAAAUCUUCCCAAGUGUAAAUACUGCUAGGAGGUAACUGAUUCAACCACGCUCUGGCUGAACCUUCCAGCAUGAGGGGCAAAUGCUUCAUGGCCACCUCGUCAUUCCCACCACCAAUCUGAACAGCCACUCGGUAAUCCUCAAGCCAAGUGUCAGGCUUGGACUCCCCAGUGAAUUUGCUGACUCCUGUUGCCAACCUGAAAUUGGGGGGAAUCAUUGCGGCUCUGAUAGCCCUGCUAAAACACUCUGGACCAAAAACAUGCACUCGACUGCUCGUGGGUACAUCUCUCUCUGGUCCACCUCGAUGGGCUCUGCUCCGGUCGACCAAGCCUUGCACGAUAAUGGAUCGCGCGUCGAAGCCUGGUUCCCUGGGGUCGACUGGAACUCUUCGCCCCGCACUGAACUGACGCUUGUCGUCCUGCCGCCGAGGAGCGUAAGACCUUUCCCUCGGAGGAGAAACGGGUACUCGACGCCUGUCAUCCCGGUCGUGUCGGUCUCCGUACUGAUCUCGCUGGUUGUCGCGCCCUUCUCGCCGCGGAGGCGAUCUGGGGCUGUGAGCCGACUGAACCGAAUUCGCAGCGACGGAUCGACUGUGAAUUCUGUUGCGCGACUGUGACACAGCUGAGUUCUGGUCCCCUGCUGCUCGGAGCAAAUCUCUGAUCUGCAUCAAGCCUCUCCCAGCUUCCGACUGUGAAGGCUGGAUGGACUCUGCUAUACGGGUUGCAGCUGCUAAAUUCUGAAUUGGCGUGCGGUAUACCUGAGUCGGCGGGAAGAGUCGACGUCGACUGGCUUCGGGGACUCGUUGCCGCGCGCGCUCGUCGAGUGCUCGCUGAAGGUUCUCUAGACGAGCGCGUUCAGCCACAUUGGCCAAACGUACCUCCUCCAAGGCGCGAGCCUCGGGGGUUCCUCCCACGAUGGGAGUAUGCAGGGCAUCCAUGUUCCUGCGGCGAAGCUCUUCUCUCUGUAGAGAGUCGAGUGUCUCGGGCUGGUACUCUUUGUGGUCCUGUGCGGGGUCACCUCCACCGCCCGCUCCGCCAUCAUGGGCGAAGCCGGGAGGGCUGCGGGGCCCGUCGACCAUGAGAAUUUCCGCCGCUGGGUCACUGCUGUCGCAUUCGGAUGCAGUCUCUACGGAGCCAGUCGACAGAUCGAACAGGCCGUAGAGAGACUCGUCGGGCUCAAUUGCCGCAACUUGCGCGGUGGCCGACUGGCGGGCCACCGCAUGCUUCACCCACCGCUGAAGCCUCGACCGACCAGAGCGCUUGCGCUGGUGGGAGACCGGACGGGUGGUCGAUAAAGGAGUCGACCGAUAAGGGGCCGACGGUUGCCGCAGCAGAACGCCGCGGACACAUGCACGGAAAUGCGUCGCACCGCGGACGGGGAGCGCAUCGACGUCGAGUGGAGCCUCCUGGAGCCACGCGGAGUCGUCGGCGAUAAAGGUGAGAGCGCCGAGACGGAUCUCGCGCCCCUCGACCAAAACUCCAUCAGUCAUCAUGACGAAAGUACUCGGAAAUACUGCAACUUCUUCACAAAAUCGCUAAGACACCUGCCCCACGGUGGGCGCCAACUGUCGUGGUUCUAAGUCUGACAGUAGAGUGGGGGGUAGGUAUGGAGAGGCAAGGUCCUAACUAUGGAGAGGUUGUGAACACAGGCGAUGUACGAGUUCAGGCCCUUCUCGGAAGAAGUAAAAGCCCUACGUCUCGGAGCCCUGAGGCGGUCAAGUGGAUUAUGUGUAUAUGUGUUACAAGAGUCGGAACCCUUCUGCCUGUGGAGGGGGGUGGCUUAUAUAGAGUGCGCCAGGACCCCUGCCAGCCCACGUAAUGAAGGGGUUUAAGUACAUUAAGUCUGGGGCGUUACUGGUAACGCCCCGCAUAAAGUGCCUUAACUAUCAUUAAGUCUUAUUCAAUUACAGGCCGUUGCAGUGCGGAGUGCCUUCUGACCUUCUGGUGGUCGAGUGCAUCUUCAUGGUCGAGUGAAUCUCCAUGGUCGAGUCCUUCUGAUCAGUCGAGUGAGUUCCCCGUUGGUCGACUGGAAGGUGAUCUCUUCUUAGGGUGCCCUUGGGUAGGACAUCUAGGUCAGGCCUAUGACCCUACCCUAGGUACAUGAAUCCAUCAGUAACAUUUAUCUCAUACCUAAUUUUCAAUUUAAGAUGAUUAUUAUUCCAACUAUUUCACUAUCUCUCUCCUACCUCAGGAUACUCCAUUUCAAAAUGUCUGUGUAUGGAGAAAAUCAGUAGUGCGGUUAUUGUGCUUACUCCAUUCUAUACCCCUGCCAAUUCGUUGGGAAUGGUUAAAUGGUUAUAUAAAUAAACUUAUUGGGUACAGAUAGCAUGGUCAUUACAAACUAGCUGGAUGUUUUACGGUUCUUGAGACUGUAAGUUAAUAGUUAUUCUAUUUAUAGGGUUGAGUCUUUUAGAGAUGGUAAUGUCCUCUUUUGACUAAAUUGAGCAAUGUAAUCUCAUCUAUAUACAGAAGGACCGGCUGUCAAUAAUUCUCAUUUGCAAAAAUAGAUGCUCUGGCUAUUUCAACUUCCGCAUUCUAUAUUAUGAUAUAUUUAAAUGCUGGAAUGCUUCAAAGUGUAGUGUGGACAUAUUUAGUUAAAAUUAAUUAGUAAGACUUUUUGAUUGUGCCACAUUAACAAAUAUAAAUGCAUAAAUAAAUAACAUAAGCCUUGUAUGCUUCUUUGCGUGGAGCACACCGGCAACGUUUUUUGGGGUACUUAACUGUUUCAAUAAUUUCAUGGUUUCUAGAUUUAUACACAUUAACUAAUCUUUUUCUGUAGGCAUCUCUAGAACAGAAGAAUGAUUCUCUUAUAAAGCUAAAAUAUAUAAGCUUCAAAGCAAUCUAAGAAUGUUAAGACAAGCUUAUCCGUCACAGAGGGAAAUUGUAUGCUGCACCUGUUCUCACUUCUUACCGAUGUGUCUCACAUGGGCACACACAUAUUAGGUUUCAUAUAUACUUAUGUUCUUUUCAGAUUGCAGGAAUUUCAGUCUUUUAGCACUGGUGUUCUUUCUUUCCCUUCAUUAGAUUUCGGUUAGGGAAGGAAGCACAAAAUAUUGUCCAGAACAAAUCCAAGUGAGUUUACUAAAUGCUAACCACAUUCUUGCAAUUCAUAAGUCACAACCAUAUCAAGAAGUAUUUUACACUUUCACUUUGAUUUCUUUUUGGGCUACAAGCAUGCUCACCAAAUGCUCGUGAAACUGUUAGAGCAAGGGAGUGUAUAUACUCGAGCAUAAAGCAUCCUGUCACUCUGUGCUAUCUUCGGGUAAUAAUUUGAUUGUGAUUUUGGUUCUCCUAUAUAGAUUGUCCCAGGGUGGAUCAUUGUAUUAUUGGCUGUUGUAGGGCUGUCGCUCCUCUCUGUGCAGUGAGAUGGACCAUGAUUUUGCUUUACAUAUGCUUCUUAGGUAUGUAGGAGCAAAGGGCUCAACUCAUUUUGCUUGCUAUGAUUGCCACUAAAAAAUCUCUUUGUAAUUAAUUUUUGGCUUAUAAUUAUGCCUGUCAUUUCUGAAUUCAUGUUGUGACUGCAAUAAAGGUCUCUUAUAUGAAUGUCAGAUGUCAUUUCUUCAUGUUGUGACUAUUCU
rnacentral:lncRNA from 1 species